GACGGGGGAUGCAAGUGUUAUCCGGAAUCACUGGGCGUAAAGCGUCUGCAGGUGGUUUCCUAAGUCCACUGUUAAACCUUGAGGCUCAACCUCAAAUCUGCAUUGGAAACUAGGAGACUUGAGUAUAGUAGGGGUAGAGGGAAUUUCCAGUGGAGCGGUGAAAUGCGUAGAUAUUGGGAAGAACACCGGUGGCGAAGGCGGCCCACUGGCUCGAUACUGACGCUGAGGUGCGAAAGCGUGGGGAGCAAACAGG
rnacentral:rRNA from 1 species